rnacentral:rRNA from 1 species
AGUGGCGGACGGGUGAGUAACACGUGGGAACGUGCCUUUAGGUUCGGAAUAACUCAGGGAAACUUGUGCUAAUACCGAAUGUGCCCUUCGGGGGAAAGAUUUAUCGCCUUUAGAGCGGCCCGCGUCUGAUUAGCUAGUUGGUGAGGUAAAGGCUCACCAAGGCGACGAUCAGUAGCUGGUCUGAGAGGAUGAUCAGCCACAUUGGGACUGAGACACGGCCCAAACUCCUACGGGAGGCAGCAGUGGGGAAUCUUGCGCAAUGGGCGAAAGCCUGACGCAGCCAUGCCGCGUGAAUGAUGAAGGUCUUAGGAUUGUAAAAUUCUUUCAGUAGGGACGAUAAUGACGGUACCUACAGAAGAAGCCCCGGCUAACUUCGUGCCAGCAGCCGCGGUAAUACGAAGGGGGCUAGCGUUGCUCGGAAUUACUGGGCGUAAAGGGAGCGUAGGCGGACAUUUAAGUCAGGGGUGAAAUCCCGGGGCUCAACCUCGGAAUUGCCUUUGAUACUGGGUGUCUUGAGUGUGAGAGAGGUAUGUGGAACUCCGAGUGUAGAGGUGAAAUUCGUAGAUAUUCGGAAGAACACCAGUGGCGAAGGCGACAUACUGGCUCAUUACUGACGCUGAGGCUCGAAAGCGUGGGGAGCAAACAGGAUUAGAUACCCUGGUAGUCCACGCCGUAAACGAUGAUUGCUAGUUGUCGGGAUGCAUGCAUUUCGGUGACGCAGCUAACGCAUUAAGCAAUCCGCCUGGGGAGUACGGUCG